GUCUACGGCCAUGCCAUCCUGAAUAUGCCUGAUCUCAUCUGAUCUCAGGGUUGUUGGGGCUGGUUAGUACUUGGAUGGGAAACCAUGUAGGAAGACCAGGUGCUGUAGGCA
rnacentral:rRNA from 1 species